rnacentral:rRNA from 1 species
GACGGGGGGUCCUAGCGUUGUUCGGAAUUAUUGGGCGUAAAGCGUGUGCAGGUGGUCAGGUAAGUUGGAUGUGAAAGCCCCGGGCUUAACUCGGGAAGUGCAUUCAAAACUACCUAACUUGAGUAUGGAAGAGGGUCGUGGAAUUCCUGGUGUAGUGGUGAAAUACGUAGAUAUCAGGAGGAACACCGGCGGCGAAGGCGGCGACCUGGUCCAAUACUGACACUCAUACACGAAAGCGUGGGUAGCAAACAGG